GGGAACCCCAAAACCCCAAAUGGGGCCGGGACAGGAACCCAAAUGGGCCCAGACUGAACCCAAGACCUCAAAUGGGGCCGGAACAGGAACCCAAACCCCAAAUGGGGCCAAACCCCAAAUGGGGCCGGGACAGGAACCCCAAACCCCAAAUGGGGCUGGAAUGGGAACCCCACAACCCCAAACGGGGCUGGGGCUGAACCCUGGAACCCCAAAACCCCAAAUGGGGCCAGGACAAGAACCCCAAACCCCAAAUGGGGCCGGGAUGGGAACCCAAAACCCCAAAUGGGGCCGGGACUGAACCCCAAACCCCAAAUGGGGCCUGAACCCCAAAUGGGGCCGGGGCUGCAGGAAUUCCCUUCUCCCCAUCCAACUCUUCCAGGAUUAUCCCUAAAAUCCAGCAGGAAAACCCAAAAUUAUCCCCAAAAUCCAGCAGGAAAUCCCAAAAUUAUCCCCAAAAUCCAGCACAAAAAUCUGGGAUUAAUCCCCAAAUUCCAGCAGGAAAAUUCCCAAAUUAUUCCCGAAAUCCAGAACAGAAAUCCCGGAAUGAUCCCAAAAAAAUCAGCACAAAAAUCUGGGAUUUAUCCCCAAAAUCCAGCAAAAUAUCCCAAAAUUAUCCCCAAAAUCCAGCACACAAAAAUCCCAAAAUUAUUCCCAAAAUCAUUCCCAAAAUCCAGCAGGAAAAUUCCCAAAAUUAUCCCCAAAAUCCAGAACAAAAAUUCCAAAAUUAUCCCCAAAAUCCGGGAUUUUAUCCCAAAAUCCGGGAUUUUACCCCCAAAAUCCGGGAUUUUACCCCCAAAAUCCGGGAUUUUACCCCCAAAAUCUGGGAUUUUAUCCCCAAAAUCCAGGAAGGAAAUCCCAGAAUGAUCCCAAAUAUUUUCCCGUUAAAAACCCCAAUUAAGAAUGAAAUUAAAUAGAAAAUUUAAAUUUAUAUGUAAAUAAAAAAUGUGAUUCUAGAAGUAAUUAAUAAAUU
rnacentral:lncRNA from 1 species